rnacentral:piRNA from 1 species
UGCAGGCAGAACACUAUAUUCAU